rnacentral:rRNA from 1 species
AUACGGAGGGUGCAAGCGUUGUUCGGAUUUACUGGGCGUAAAGCGCGCGCAGGCGGAUUAGCAAGUCAGAUGUGAAAUCUCGGGGCUCAACCCCGAAACUGCGUCUGAAACUGCUAGUCUAGAGUCUCAGAGGGGGCAGGGGAAUUUCACGUGUAGGGGUAAAAUCCGUAGAGAUGUGAAGGAACACCAGUGGCGAAGGCGCCUGCCUGGAUGAGCACUGACGCUGAGGCGCGAAAGCGUGGGGAGCAAACAGGAUUAGAUACCCUGGUAGUCCACGCCGUAAACGAUGAGUACUAGUUAUUGGAGGUAUUGACCCCUUCAGUGACGAAGCUAACGCAUUAAGUACUCCGCCUGGGAAGUACGGUCGCAAGACUAAA